rnacentral:rRNA from 1 species
CCUACGUUGGUCAGCAGUGAGGACUAUUGGUCCCUGGGCGCGCUCCUGCCCCAGCCAAGCACCGUGAGGGAAGACGGCCCUAUGGGUUGUAAACCUCUUUUGUCGGAGAACAAAACCCGGGACGUGUCCCGGACUGCGUGUAUCCGAAGAAAAAGCAUCGGCUAACUCCGUGCCAGCAGCCGCGGUAAUACGGAGGAUGCGAGCGUUAUCCGGAUUUAUUGGGUUUAAAGGGUGCGUAGGCGGUCCGUUAAGUCAGCGGUAAAAUUGCGGGGCUCAACCCCGUCGAGCCGUUGAAACUGGCAGACUUGAGUUGGCGAGAAGUACGCGGAAUGCGCGGUGUAGCGGUGAAAUGCAUAGAUAUCGCGCAGAACUCCGAUUGCGAAGGCAGCGUACCGGCGCCAGACUGACGCUGAGGCACGAAAGCGUGGGGAUCGAACAGGAUUAGAUACCCGAGUAGUC